rnacentral:snoRNA from 1 species
GAGAAUAUGAUGACCCUUUCCCCAGAUGAUCGACGCUGAACAUACUGAGCGCUACAUUUUCUCGUUCGAGAAAGCCAAGCCAGAACUCUGAUUCUC